UUGGCUGUCGUCAGCUCGUGUCGUGAGAUGUUCGGUUAAGUCCGCUAACGAGCGCAACCCUCGUCGUAUGUUAUAUGUGUCAUACGAGACUGCCGGUAAAAAAGCCGGAGGAAGGUGAGGAUGAUGUCAAGUCAGCAUGACCUUUAUAUCCAGGGCUACACACACGCUACAAUGGUCUGUACAAUGGGUAGCCAAGCCGCGAGGCGGAGCCAAUCCUGAAAGCAGGCCUCAGUUCAGAUUGCAGUCUGCAACUCGACUGCAUGAAGCCGGAGUUGCUAGUAACCGCAGGUCAGCAAUACUGCGGUGAAUACGUUCCCGGGUCUU
rnacentral:rRNA from 1 species